CGACAGUUCCAAAAGUUUCCUUGUCAUUGUUUUUCUUCUUGCAGCUAUCUAGAUUUCUGUUUUUUAUUUCUGUUUUUAGAUUUUUUUUUAGAGAGUAAAUUUUAACACCUGAUUCAUUUCAGUUCCCUGACAGAAUGGAUGACCAACAGAACAUUAGUUCUGCCUGGUCAGAUCAUUUGUUCCCAGACCAAUCCAUGUCAAAGUACCUUAACAGCACUGAAGAAUACCUUGCAUACUUGUGUGGGCCAAAACGUAG